GUGCAUCCAGAUCUAACUUUGGAAUAAUACUGCUUUUUUCCAUGAUGAUUGUCGCCAUCUUCUAUGUCUAUCUACGGAUUAGGUUGCCCUAUCUACAUCGUAGGCGCAGACGGAGACAAAACAGCAAAGCCAGUGGUGCAGCUCACCAUGAGCCAUAUGGGCGCAGGGCUCCAUCUAGAGGGACGCGCUGAAGUUACUCCCAGAAAAAAAAAUUCAAACUCAACCGUGGCUCACCUGCCCACCAGCUGUCUGCACUUUGUUUUCUGCACUGGCCAGUCAGCUAACUUGUCUCUAGCGUUGGCAGUGCAGAUGAACAUGAUUCUUGUAAUGGAUAUGUUUUUGAGAGAUGUUUUUAUUCCCACAGCAACAGUAAUUGCUUUGGAAAUAAAUUUAAAAAAUAUUCUAGGAAUAAUAAUGUUUUUUAAAAUAUUUGUGACUGUCUACCAUCUCCUUCCAAUGCAGGUAUGAAGGCUGAAAGUUGAUUUAUAGUGAGGCAGGUGACUCUCUUGGUAAGUGUCACUGGAUAGAAAAGUGGUGAGCGACACGUUCUCAUUCUUUUUUAUGUCCCGCACAACGUCACAUUUUGUCAUGCAAUGCGGUCGUGUUAUAAUCGUCAUCACAGAGACUGAAACUUUUCAAUCCACUCGACUCCGACCUGCAUUCAGCUCCUCUGUCCACAGAGGCCGCCGUCUGUCAGCAGCAGCUCCUGCAGAGCUGAGAGGACAGCGGCCUGUAAAACUGCCGUCACCAGGCUGACUGACAGCAGAUGUUUAACUGAACCAGUUUUCAGAUGAGCUCCAUGGGAGGAAAUCAACAAUUUUAACAGUUGUUGAUUCACUGACUUUAUCUCCCAGCUGACCAUCGCGACUCACAGACAGACACUGGGAGCUGAUCAAUCAAUAACUGUAAGGUUAAUAAGAUAAAAACACGCAUGUACAGCAGGAUAUAUGUGACUUGAGUGUUUGAAACCUGGAGCGACAUCACUUUUCUUAUGUUGCAUUCAGACACCAUUCACA